AACGCGUGAGCAACAUGUCCUCAGUCGGGGGAUAAGCGAGGGAAACUUCGUCUAAUACCCCAUAACACUUUCAGGCGCAUGCCUUUGAGUUGAAAGCUUUUUUUGCGACUUUGGUUUGGCUCGCGUGACAUUAGCUAGUCGGUGGGGUAACGGCUCACCGAGGCUACGAUGUCUAGGGGUUCUGAGAGGAAGGCCCCCCACAUUGGGACUGGGACACGGCCCAAACUCCUACGGGAGGCAGCAGUGAGGAAUAUUGGUCAAUGGACGGAAGUCUGAACCAGCCAUGCCGCGUGAAGGAAGACUGCCCUAUGGGUUGUAAACUUCUUUUGCAGCAGAGCAAUAAGGCGUACGCGUACGCCGAUGAGAGUA
rnacentral:rRNA from 1 species